CGGGACGGGUGAGUAACGCGUGGGUAACCUGCCUCAUACAGGGGGAUAACAGUUAGAAAUGACUGCUAAUACCGCAUAAGACCACAGCACCGCAUGGUGCAGGGGUAAAAACUCCGGUGGUAUGAGAUGGACCCGCGUCUGAUUAGGUAGUUGGUGAGGUAACGGCCCACCAAGCCGACGAUCAGUAGCCGACCUGAGAGGGUGACCGGCCACAUUGGGACUGAGACACGGCCCAG
rnacentral:rRNA from 1 species